UACGGAGGAUGCAAGCGUUAUCCGGAAUGAUUGGGCGUAAAGGGUCCGCAGGUGGCAUUGUAAGUCUGCUGUUAAAGAGUCACGCUCAACGUGAUAAAAGCAGUGGAAACUACAAAGCUAGAGUAUGUUCGGGGCAGAAGGAAUUCCUGGUGUAGCGGUGAAAUGCGUAGAUAUCAGGAAGAACACCGGUGGCGAAAGCGUUCUGCUAGACCAAAACUGACACUGAGGGGCGAAAGCUAGGGGAGCGAAUGGG
rnacentral:rRNA from 1 species